rnacentral:rRNA from 1 species
AGAGUUUGAUCAUGGCUCAGAUUGAACGCUGGCGGUAUGCUUAACACAUGCAAGUCGAACGGUAACAGGCCUUCGGGCGCUGACGAGUGGCGGACGGGUGAGUAACGCGUAGGAAUCUGCCUCAUAGUGGGGGACAACGUGGGGAAACUCACGCUAAUACCGCAUACGCCCUACGGGGGAAAGCGGGGGAUCUUCGGACCUCGCGCUAUGAGAUGAGCCUGCGUUAGAUUAGCUAGUUGGUAGGGUAAAGGCCUACCAAGGCGACGAUCUAUAGCUGGUCUGAGAGGACGAUCAGCCACACUGGGACUGAGACACGGCCCAGACUCCUACGGGAGGCAGCAGUGGGGAAUAUUGGACAAUGGGCGCAAGCCUGAUCCAGCAAUACCGCGUGUGUGAAGAAGGCCUUAGGGUUGUAAAGCACUUUCAAUUGGGAAGGAAAACCUACCGGUCAAUACCCGGUAGCUUGACAUUACCUUUAGAAGAAGCACCGGCUAACUCCGUG